UACGUAGGGGGCAAGCGUUGUCCGGAAUCAUUGGGCGUAAAGCGCGUGUAGGCGGCUCGAUAAGUCUGCUGUGAGAGUCCAGGGCUCAACCCUGGGAUGCCGGUGGAUACUGUCGAGCUCGAGUCCGGAAGAGGCGAGUGGAAUUCCUGGUGUAGCGGUGAAAUGCGCAGAUAUCAGGAGGAACACCAAUGGCGAAGGCAGCUCGCUGGGACGUGACUGACGCUGAGACGCGAAAGCGUGGGGAGCAAACAGG
rnacentral:rRNA from 1 species